rnacentral:rRNA from 1 species
UGCGUAGGCGGCUUCGUAAGUGCCUUGUGAAAUCCCAUGGCUCAACCAUGGAACUGCUCGGCAGACUGCGGGGCGUUGAGGUUGGUAGGGGCGUGCUGGAACUCUAGGUGGAGCGGUGAAAUGCGUAGAUAUCUAGAGGAACGCCGACGGUGAAGACAGGCAGCUGGGCCAAAACUGACGCUGAGGCACGAAAGCGUGGGGAGCGAACGGGAUUAGAUACCCCGGUAGUCCACGCCCUAAACUAUGUACACUAGAUCCUGGAGGCUCUGACGCCAUCGGGGUCGAAGCAAAAGUGUUAAGUGUACCGCCUGGGGAGUACGGUCGCAAGGCUAAA